GAGUUACCUGAGUUGCGCUGAGCGCGCGUAUCCCUGGAAAUAGCGGAGGCGCGCGAACAGGUAGAACAGUCCGCACAGGGCUGCGGCUCCUGCGAGAGUCGAUGCAAGGCGACGCGGUGAGCACGAGCUCCCGCCAUCCGGGAUCACCCCCACCCCCGAAGUGUGCCCCCACGCUGCCCCGCACCUUCGUGGAAGAAGAUGCCGGCGACCCAGAGUGUGGCGAGGAACAGCGGAAAGUACUCGCUGCAGUUUACCCUGCGAGGGGUAGGCUGGGUGAGCGCGUGGUUCACCUUGGCUGACACCCGAACCCGCCCGGACCCGCCGCGCUCACUGGGCUCGGAAGACGCGCUCGAACUCGGGAGGGCCAGAGGAGAAACUGUAUUGAAACAACCAACCAAAAUGAAAAAAGAAAGAAAAUCAAGAUAAAUUAAGACUCGUCUUACGGAUCAGUUCUUUUUAAGUGUUCCUAGCAGCGCUCAGGAGGCCGCCCUGCCCGAGAGAUGCGUGGGCUUCGUGUCCCAUCACGUGGCUGACACAGACCCAGUAUCUGAAAUUCUUGGUUCCCAGGAAAAACUUACUAUUGAUGUUGAAGAACAAGUAUCUGAAAGCUGGAAGCAAGGACCCCCUUCAUGGAUCAAGAGAAGAUACUGAGCAUCAUAACCGCCUCAGAGAGCUGCUCCAGCUGUACAAGGUAGCCACUGGGGAAGAACUGCCCUUAUUCAUCGACAGACCAAAAGUACUGUCCAGGAAAGGACACAGGAUGUGGGAUAGUCGACAGCUUAGCUCUGCCAAGAAAGGGUCUCUGCAAAGCUUUACACUUGGGCUGUCAAGAUGGCUCAGCCAGUCUUCCACCACACCUGAUGGCAUGAUUAUAAUCCCGGGACUCACUUGGGGAAGCCAACUCCAGCAUGUUAUCUUCUAGUCUCCACAGGCAUGCUGUGGCAUACAUCUACUAACCGACAUCCACAUAUUUUUUAAAAAUGUAGUGAGAAAAAUUCAAAGUUGUGCUAUCCAAGUUGAAAUCCUACAUCAUCAAGGCCUCUUUCCCCCUCUAAAGGAGCCACUGAAAUGGAAACCCCUCUGCUUCCUUGGAGAGGCCUCUCUUGUAGGCCCAACCCCGGGUUGAACAGCUCAGCUAGCAUCACGUCAGUGAAAAGGCCCUUCCUCUGUAGAGAAAGCUGAAGUCUCAACUCACAAGACCCUCACAUCAAGCUCUAAUAUGGUAACAUCAACCUGACAUGGCAAAUCUAUCUGCUCAGGGUUUCACAUUCAAAGGACUUACUGACAAGUCAGACUCAAGUCGCUUUUUAAAGCUAAGCUUGGUGGUGUUCAUCUUUAAUCUCAGCACUUGGGAAGGAGGAACAAGCGGAUCUCUGAAUUUGAGGCCAGCCUGGUCUACAGAGCAAGUUCCAGAACAGCCAGGACGACACACACACACAAACAUGGUGUGCCCACCAAAAAUAAAUAAAUAAAAGUUUUUAUUUUUAACAGCAGAAGAGGAUCACAAGGAACACUGGCAAAGCUACAGUCAAAAUGUAGACCACCCAAAGCCAUGGACGCUCUUCAGCUGCCUCCAGCAUCUGCAGCACUACACCUGGCUG
rnacentral:lncRNA from 1 species